UACAGAGGUCCCAAGCGUUGUUCGGAUUCACUGGGCGUAAAGGGUGCGCAGGCGGUGUCGCAAGUCAGGCGUGAAAUCCCCGGGCUUAACCUGGGAACUGCACUUGAAACUACGAUGCUGGAGUAUGGCAGAGGGAGGUGGAAUUCCACGUGUAGCGGUGAAAUGCGUAGAGAUGUGGAGGAACACCGAUGGCGAAGGCAGCCUCCUGGGCCAAUACUGACGCUCAUGCACGAAAGCGUGGGGAGCAAACAGG
rnacentral:rRNA from 1 species